AGUGAACGCUGGCGGCAGGCCUAACACAUGCAAGUCGAACGGAAGCACAGUGCGAGCUUGCUGUUACGGGUGGGGAGUGGCGGACGGGUCAGGAAUAUAUCCUAAUCUACUUUUUCGUGGGGGUUAACGUAGGGAAACUUACGCCAAUACAGCAUACGACGUACGGGUGAAAGCAUGGGAUCUUCGGACCUUGCGCGAGUGAAUGAGCCGGUGUCGGAUUAGCUAGUUGGCGGGGUACUGACCCACCAGGGCGAGGAUCCGUAGCUGGGCUGAGGGGAGGUAGAGCAACACAGAAGGUGAGACACGGCCUGGAGUCCUAGGGGAGGCAGCGGUGGGGAAUGUAGGAAAAAGGGGGGAAGCCUGAUCAAGCCAUGCCGGGUUGGUGAAGAAGGCCUGGGGUUGUAAAGCCCUUUUGUUGGGAAAGAAAAGCAGUAGGUUAAUACCCCGCUGUUCUGACGGUACCCAAAGAAUAAGCACCGGCUAACUUCGUG
rnacentral:rRNA from 1 species